rnacentral:rRNA from 1 species
UUAAGCGACUAAGCGUACACGGUGGAUGCCCUGGCAGUCAGAGGCGAUGAAGGACGUGCUAAUCUGCGAAAAGCGCCGGCGAGGUGAUAUGAACCCUUGACCCGGCGAUGUCCGAAUGGGGAAACCCAGUGCAAUCCGUUGCACUAUCGUUAACUGAAUACAUAGGUUAACGAGGCGAACCGGGGGAACUGAAACAUCUAAGUACCCCGAGGAAAAGAAAUCAACCGAGAUUCCCCCAGUAGCGGCGAGCGAACGGGGAGCAGCCCGGAGUCUGAAAGCUUGUGUGUUAGUGGAACGGUCUGGAAAGUCCGACGGUACAGGGUGAUAGUCCCGUACACGAAAGCACACAUGCUGUGAACUCGAAGAGUAGGGCGGGACACGUGGUAUCCUGUCUGAAUAUGGGGGGACCAUCCUCCAAGGCUAAAUACUCCUGACUGACCGAUAGUGAACCAGUACCGUGAGGGAAAGGCGAAAAGAACCCCGGCGAGGGGAGUGAAAAAGAACCUGAAACCGUGUACGUACAAGCAGUGGGAGCCUCUUUAUGGGGUGACUGCGUACCUUUUGUAUAAUGGGUCAGCGACUUAUAUUCUGUAGCAAGGUUAACCGUAUAGGGGAGCCGAAGGGAAACCGAGUCUUAACUGGGCGUUAAGUUGCAGGGUAUAGACCCGAAACCCGGUGAUCUAGCCAUGGGCAGGUUGAAGGUUGGGUAACACUAACUGGAGGACCGAACCGACUAAUGUUGAAAAAUUAGCGGAUGACCUGUGGCUGGGGGUGAAAGGCCAAUCAAACCGGGAGAUAGCUGGUUCUCCCCGAAAGCUAUUUAGGUAGCGCCUCGUGAACUCAUCUUCGGGGGUAGAGCACUGUUUCGGCUAGGGGGCCAUCCCGGCUUACCAACCCGAUGCAAACUACGAAUACCGAAGAAUGUUAUCACGGGAGACACACGGCGGGUGCUAACGUCCGUCGUGAAGAGGGAAACAACCCAGACCGCCAGCUAAGGUCCCAAAGUCAUGGUUAAGUGGGAAACGAUGUGGGAAGGCACAGACAGCCAGGAUGUUGGCUUAGAAGCAGCCAUCAUUUAAAGAAAGCGUAAUAGCUCACUGGUCGAGUCGGCCUGCGCGGAAGAUGUAACGGGGCUAAACCAUGCACCGAAGCUGCGGCAGCGACACUAUGUGUUGUUGGGUAGGGGAGCGUUCUGUAAGCCGUUGAAGGUGUGCUGUGAGGCAUGCUGGAGGUAUCAGAAGUGCGAAUGCUGACAUAAGUAACGAUAAAGCGGGUGAAAAGCCCGCUCGCCGGAAGACCAAGGGUUCCUGUCCAACGUUAAUCGGGGCAGGGUGAGUCGACCCCUAAGGCGAGGCCGAAAGGCGUAGUCGAUGGGAAACAGGUUAAUAUUCCUGUACUUGGUGUUACUGCGAAGGGGGGACGGAGAAGGCUAUGUCAGCCGGGCGACGGUUGUCCCGGUUUAAGCAUGUAGGCGGAGGUUCCAGGUAAAUCCGGUACCUUUUAACGCUGAGGUGUGAUGACGAGGCACUACGGUGCUGAAGUGAUAAAUGCCCUGCUUCCAGGAAAAGCCUCUAAGCAUCAGGUAACACGAAAUCGUACCCCAAACCGACACAGGUGGUCAGGUAGAGAAUACCAAGGCGCUUGAGAGAACUCGGGUGAAGGAACUAGGCAAAAUGGUGCCGUAACUUCGGGAGAAGGCACGCUGAUAUGUAGGUGAAGCCCCUGCGGGCGGAGCUGAAAUCAGUCGAAGAUACCAGCUGGCUGCAACUGUUUAUUAAAAACACAGCACUGUGCAAACACGAAAGUGGACGUAUACGGUGUGACGCCUGCCCGGUGCCGGAAGGUUAAUUGAUGGGGUUAGCGGCAACGCGAAGCUCUUGAUCGAAGCCCCGGUAAACGGCGGCCGUAACUAUAACGGUCCUAAGGUAGCGAAAUUCCUUGUCGGGUAAGUUCCGACCUGCACGAAUGGCGUAAUGAUGGCCAGGCUGUCUCCACCCGAGACUCAGUGAAAUUGAACUCGCUGUGAAGAUGCAGUGUACCCGCGGCAAGACGGAAAGACCCCGUGAACCUUUACUAUAGCUUGACACUGAACACUGGUCCUUGAUGUGUAGGAUAGGUGGGAGGCUUUGAAGCGUGGACGCCAGUCUGCGUGGAGCCAACCUUGAAAUACCACCCUUUAAUGGCUGGUGUUCUAACGUGGACCCGUAAUCCGGGUUGCGGACAGUGUCUGGUGGGUAGUUUGACUGGGGCGGUCUCCUCCCAAAGAGUAACGGAGGAGCACGAAGGUUGGCUAAUCCUGGUCGGACAUCAGGAGGUUAGUGCAAUGGCAUAAGCCAGCUUGACUGCGAGCGUGACGGCGCGAGCAGGUGCGAAAGCAGGUCAUAGUGAUCCGGUGGUUCUGAAUGGAAGGGCCAUCGCUCAACGGAUAAAAGGUACUCCGGGGAUAACAGGCUGAUACCGCCCAAGAGUUCAUAUCGACGGCGGUGUUUGGCACCUCGAUGUCGGCUCAUCACAUCCUGGGGCUGAAGUAGGUCCCAAGGGUAUGGCUGUUCGCCAUUUAAAGUGGUACGCGAGCUGGGUUUAGAACGUCGUGAGACAGUUCGGUCCCUAUCUGCCGUGGGCGCUGGAGAAUUGAGGGGGGCUGCUCCUAGUACGAGAGGACCGGAGUGGACGCAUCACUGGUGUUCGGGUUGUCAUGCCAAUGGCACUGCCCGGUAGCUAAAUGCGGAAGAGAUAAGUGCUGAAAGCAUCUAAGCACGAAACUUGCCCCGAGAUGAGUUCUCCCUGAGACUUUAAGUCUCCUGAAGGAACGUUGAAGACGACGACGUUGAUAGGUCGGGUGUGUAAGCGCAGCGAUGCGUUGAGCUAACCGAUACUAAUGAACCGUGAGGCUUAACCUU